CCGGGCGGCCCCGCGGGCCCCGAGGAGACGUGGAUGAAAGGAAAAGUUACGACGUGCAGCGAUUGUGUGUUGUCUUGAUCAAGUAAAACAGGUUGUCGCAAAGAGGAAGCGGAGUGUAGUUAAAUUUGUUCAGUAGACGCUACGGGAAAUGCAGGAGAAGCAAACAAGGUGACUUGGUGUGGUGCGAAUCUUUUGUUUCGAGGAGGUAGAAGGGAUGAAAGUACCGCAGGCCCCCAGGGAGAAGAGCUGAGAGCAGGUGUCCCUCGUCGGUGUGCAAGGGAUGCUGCUGGCCCCUCAGGGGCUGCCCGCUGGGCCGCUCAGGGCCUGGAGUAGGCAGUGGCAGAACAGCCCCGGUGAGGGCUCUGAGGACUUCAGAGAGAGAUGGGUGUGAUGCCAACCAGCUGGCCAAAUGUACAAACACGUGCUUUAUCCACCCUGCAGGUGCUGGGCUCUGGCAGGGACAGCCGAGCUCAAAGUCCUCUGGGCUCAGCCCUCAGCCAAAGCCAUCGCCUCUCAUGCUGCGUCUCCUCUUUCUACAUCCCUUCAACAGAAAACAAACAUGCCUGCAGCUGCGAAGGUUUCUCAAUACUAUCCUGCCAGUAACAUGCACGGAACAUUUUCAUCCACCAUAAAUCAAGCUCAAACUCAUAUAAAUAUUUGUUAAUCUAGAGCCCUUUUAAAGCUCUAAGUGUUACAGCUCUACCUGUAAUUCUCAUUAGGCAAUGCGGCAGCGUGUAUCUACAGUAACAUCUAAACUAGUUGUUUUUCUGAAACAUCUGUGUUGGGCUGGGGAAAAGAGAGGGAGAAGCAUAGCCUUACUGAUGUAACUACACAGCGAAAACAAGUUUCUGGCUCAAGAAGUUGGAGUAAUGGCUGUUCCCUGUAGUCUUGUGACCUCUGGGUUGGUGGUUAUAGACUCUUACCAUGUGGGGCAGUCAGCUCCGAAUUGCUAGAGUAGAAAUUAUUCCUUGUUGUUUGAGUCAUGGUAUCCACCAGAUCACACCAUUCUUUCUCCAACUACAUUUCUGGUUCAGUUCCAGUUCAGCUCAACCUCAGAAUAAUUCCUCCUAGACUGAAUAUGAAUUUCAACUCCAUCAAGAUCUAUGCUGAUCCAAUACCCUUUUCUUGUGAUAUACUGUGACAUAGGAUUCAGAUGACAAUUGAGGUAGCUGAGUGCUAUGAUUAUUUUCUGACUUUCUGUGACUCUUAUAUUGUGAUUCUCAUCUGUUCUGGCUUCUAAGUUUUUGUGGCUAUUGGAGAAAGGAUGAAGCAUCAUUAGAGUAUGUAUUCUAUGUAAGCAAGAUAAGACAUCAGAAGAACAUAAACAACACCUGCUAUACCAUUUAGAAAUAUGAGAGAUACGUAUUACCAAUAGCAGAGAGCAGUACUGAGACAAAAGAAGAUUAAAAACUAUCGGCUUUGUGUGUUUUGACUCCAAAAUGUUCCAAUCUGGACUGAAACUCCGUCACCAGAUCUUCCUCUUAUCAAGGUCAGAAUUCAUUUUGAAAUUCCAAGAUGAAAAUAACUAAAUUUCAACUUAAAAAGAAAGCUAAUUUUUCAGCCACAUGUUUGGUCGCCAUCCUGUCAGGUCAGCAAAACUGCAAAGCAAUUACCAAUUACUAAAAAAUGUAAUGAAGAACCUGUUUUAUGGAAGAGUCCAGUUUGUGUUUGCCUAAGGAUCAUUAUACUACCUCACAGCACUAAACUAUACAUGAUUUAAACAUUUCUAAAGGAAAUGGUUACAAAGUGCUCACUUUUCAUAUUCGUGUUUUACUGCAAGAUGAAAUUAACUGCAUUAUUUAUUUCCUUUCUAUUAUCUCUCAGUUUCUCAUACAUACAUACCUGUAUCUAUAAGGAUGUGCGUAUGUUGAUAGGAAUAUUUGAUGAUGGCAAAGUGUCAUUUCUUGGUAUUUUCAUCCUCCUUUUGCCCCCCUCUCCCCUGUCCUUUGCACCUUGAAAUCUCUCUUCAUAAAUAAUACGUAGCAAAGACUGUGAUUCGAUACUACCUGACUUACUUGUAUAUAGGCAACAGUAGGCUUGCAUAUGAAGUUUGCACAGUGCAUAUCUUGGUGGGCUGAGAAACAAAUAGCCAACUAUGUCACAGUAUUUUUGGUGUAAAUCAUUACAGGGAGCAUCAGUGUUACUUUGGGAGGAUGGCAGAGUAUUUUGGACGUAGGUAACUUACAAACGUGAAAAUUCUGAGUGCCAAACAGAACUAAAACAUAUUUCCCCCAUGCCUAGCAGUUGCAAUGCUUUCACAAGAGAAAACACAGCAAUCUAACUAUAAAUAGCAACUUAACUAAAAUUAGAUAGAACUGGCAGGCUGUAACGUAUGAAUGGGAGCACUGUUAAUAUGCUCAUCAGGUAUUGGACGGGAACCAAAUCUGACAAGGAAUGCUACAGUGCAAACUUUCUCUGCCUGGAAAAAUGAGCAGAAAUGGCUGAAUGAAUAGGGCCAGUGAUGUUUUUGUAACUGGAUAAUAAUGUCAGGGUCUGCCUAACUAUGCUGAUCAAAUUUAAAUGGAAUACUGCAAGUAGAAAUAUUUCUCCGUAUUCCUUGUUGCACUGGUUUGUUUGUGCCAACAGAAAAAUGCCAUUAAAUCUAGUGAAUGUGGCAAAUUAUUUAGGGGAAAAUUAAUGCUGAAAUACUUGGUAAAGUUAAACCAAGCUGGAUAAUGUUGUCAAUUUAAAGCGUGCAACUGCAUUUGUGUGUUUUUAUUCAGAAAUAGUUAACGGUUGUCUACACUCGUACAUGGUGAAGUUCCUGAGCAAUAAACAAGGAUGGUACUUGGAGACAUCUGCUGCCUGACAUCCUGUUCUGAAAAUGCUUUUGCCUCGGACAGCUUUGCUUCAUUCAGACUGGGCCCUACAGUGUAGAAAGUGCCAUUAUGGACAAGCCAUUGGAUAUCCUGGGCUCCUGCCAAAGCACCUUGAAGAUAAGGAAGGAGAUUUUGAGCUAGUCUCAACAGACUGAACAAAAACUGAUUCUCACAGGCUUCCAAAAGAGAAACAGUAGAGAAGUUUUUCUCUUAAGUAGGAAAUGCGUAAGUGGAUCAAGUAUAAAACUAUGUUUAAACAUAACUGUGAUAGUUUGAUCAUUUUUAAUGAGAAAUAUUAAAAUUAAACGAUUUUAUCUUGGUCUACAGUAGACCCUUCUCAAAUCAGUGUUUGUCAAUAAGAACACAAAUAUACCCCUAUUAUAUCACAACUGAUUAUUUGAAGGGGCUGCAAUAUUUGCUAUCGUGGCUUUUUUUUUACAGAAGCGAUAUAUUCGUAUAGCUGUACCAACCUGUUGUUAAAGUGCAAACAGAUUUGAGUCUUACAUAACUCUGUUUUCAUUCUGGCUUCAGGAAAUAAGCCUAAGUUAUUCUAAGUCAAACUCUAAAAAUAAUGAACCUUUGAAACUAAUAUUGCCCCAGCCACUCUGCAGAUCCGUCACUAUCACAUUAACAAGGCUGUUAGACUGGUCUGAAGCCUUUGUGAAGCUGGAAGGAAAAGUAGGUUUAGGUUGCAGCUAAUGUUUUUGGCUUAGGAGAAAGUUUGUGUUGUAACGAUGCUAGCUAGUGCUUUGAAAUACAAUCCUGCAGGGUUUAAAACAACACUGUUGUUUCUCAUUGAGGGGACUUAAUGUUUGGAUUAGCCGCUUGAUUAGGAAGGCUAUGACCUUUGUUUAUGGAAUAGCUGCAGUAUUUUUAGUCCAACAGGAACACAAAUUUUGAUGUAGACAGUGCUGAUAAUGAAGCAUCAGUUUUCACUGGGAAACAUUUCAUGUCGGUUGAGGAGAAGGAAUGAAGUCUAGUGAGAAUCUAAAUGUGCUUGAUGAUUAACUGUGUAUGCACGAAGUGGGAACAAACAACGCAACAAACUUACUAAAAAAUCUCUGUAUGAAGAUAUAAAGCUUGUUAGAAUAUUGCUAUUUUUCUUUCUGAAAGCCUCUUUGUGGAAAACCAUUCACACAUUUCUUAAGCAGAGUUAAUCAAUUUAAAAGAUUUGAGAAUAAAAGCUUCAGAAGCAAAUCUAUCCUGGAUCCCAAGCAGUGAUUCCAAAAGAAAAGAUAUUUAAACAAAGAAAUACUAUCAACGGAAUUAAUGAAAGUUCAGGCUACCUUUCACAAUUCCAUCUUAUUUUUUAACCACGUUCUUUUCUCUUUCCAGCUCCUCCACUUCUUCAUAUUUAAAGCAUUUUUUGAGAUAGCUGCCACUAGAGGUCAGAUGUUUAUCAUUAUCUUUAGUGUCAUUAAUGGCUAUUAGUACUGCGUAGGUUGAAAAUAAUAUCACUCCAAACUGGAUUAAAUUAUUCUCUUUCUUACAUAGCAAUAACGUAGAUAUGAAUCCAAAUGGGAAAAACACUCUUUAAAGAUCAGAAUGCUUACAACUGUUUAGUUGUAAUUUUGUAUAAACAGUUGUAGAGUUUGCUUUCUAUUGAAAGACCGUAUCACAGUGCUGAUGUGUUAUUUGUGCCUUUCUCAAUUUGAUAUGCUCAAAAAAAUGAACAAUAACAACAACAACAAAAAAAACCAACCACCAGUACAGACUAAUCUAGACUAUUAAACAUUUUAGCAGUCACCCUGGAAAAGCUAAUUGGUAACAUUUCCUGGGGAGCAUUGUAGUUUGCUAUGUAUGAAGAUGAAAUUUCCAGACACAUGAAGAAGAUACGUGCAUUAAUUUGAGUUACUGAAGUGCCAAAAGUAACAGAGAAAUCAUAGCUUUCACAUUAGUAACGGUGAUGAAAAUAGAUGUUAGAUGCAGUAUUUGCACUUUUUGAAUCGUGUACAGAAGUCUUCUCUAGCAACUUGUAGCAACCCAAAACAGAUGAAUAUGCUUCUCCUUUGGUGGCGGAUGUGCAUGUCCCUGCAUUUAGAUGAGGUUCUGGUGAGUGAACAGUGGGAUUAUGUGCAGUGUAGCAAUGUAGACCCCAGAGUGCCAGGAGAAUAUUAGAUUCAAAGGAAUCAAGUUCCCACAAAAUAUGUAAAAAAUGGCAACUGAAUAGUCAAAAGUGGGGUAGAUUAGUGUUCGCCUAUUGACUUGGACACGUACCAGUGCAAAAGGAAGCAGUCAACUGGCCAAGCAGCAAGAGCCUGGAAUAAAAUUGGCAUUCCCCAGAUGAGAGGUACUGUCGAACUGCCAUUCAAUGCAGGGGGGAUAAUAGUGCUGGAAGGAAAGGAAAUAUCUAAAGGAAGCAGGAAGAAGAGGUGGUUAGCUGAUGUAUGGAAAUAGUUCAAAUAAAGUAAACCCUUAAUUUUUCCAGCAAGUUAUUAGCUAGAUAAUCACUUAUACUACCUUGCAUGAAAAUACAAAGGAUGUACAAUGUUUGCUGGUUUUGGUCUUUCCCACAGUGCAGAAAAUAUGCAUGCAGACAAGCAUGAAUAGAAAAACAAUUAUUCCAGUUCCAAACAUAUUAUUCUUUUCACAGAUUAUGAGGAUUAUAUAUUUAUACAGGAUUAUAAUAUAAUUUUUAUGCUUGGAAGUGCCAAAGAGAAAUUGACAGUUUAUUACAAUGAGAUAUUAAUUAAACUAAAACAGUCCACUAAAAAACGUUAACUAAAC
rnacentral:lncRNA from 1 species